UCAGGCCCCUAUGUGGGAGGUGGGGAUUGUCCACGGAGAUCUGUGGCCACGUGGGGAGAGUUCUGGCAUCUGACAAUGUGUGUGGCAAGGGUCCAGCAAAACACUCUGGCCAGGGAAAAAGGACUCUGGGUUCUCGCGAGACCCAUCCAGACCGUGGCCUUCUUCCCAGGAGGGUGUGUGAACCGCCUCUGUGGCUCGAAGUCGCGAAGGAGAGUCUGCUCAGGGGUGAGCCUCCCUUCGAGAUAAUUCAGUGGCUGCCCUACUUUCAGCUUUACCAGGAUAGGAUACUUAAGAAUUAAGAGGGAAAAAUACAUGACUUUGCUUUAAAGUGAGAUCAAGAAGCAAUUGUUUGCCAUCUUCCUUCCUGGGAAAGGAGACUGACAGUUCCUGAGGCAGCUCUUAUCUUCUCUGUACAUCUUUUGACACCGAUGGAAUCGUGGCACCCAGCCCACAGGCUCAUCUCGUGACAUUGGUCCAUGGGGGUACGACAGCCUUUUCACUACAGUGAAAGAACAUUUUCAAUAAGUACUAAAGAUUGGACCACAUUGGCCGUUUUGGAAACUGUGAUGAUCAAGGGAAGGAAUGGAAAGGAAAGCCGUGCUCAGGAGGCCCCCAGAGGACUUUGGCACUCACCAAUGCAGCCAGACGAUGAAUAACACAGUGGGGGUGCAUGGCUAAGUAUAAUGCAAAAAGACAAGUUGAGUAUCAAUUCCACAUCAUUGGUUGGGUGCUGUGAAGAGCUGGAUCCAGCUCAGCAGGAAAGAGUGGUUUCAUCGACUGUCGAGAUUGCCAUAAGCACGAUGGGAGACAGUGGGAACUCACAUGCUAUAUGUCUAUAUCUACCUUCCUGGUUUAAUGAUCACUAACAAAUUGAUCAUGACCUUUGGAUCUGAACAACAUUGGUUCUUCACCAAAAUAAAAUCCACUAUCAGUGGAUGAAGAUUUGCUACCCAUGGAUUCUUAAAUAGGGUAUGCCACAGGCUUUUGAAGAUUCUUCCAAAGAUGAUGAACUAAAAUGAUUUGUGCAACAGAAGCUUCAUUAGUGUAAAAGUAUGGUCUUCUAAAAGUAUUAUACUGAAGGCCAAAAUUCACUCGAAUGUGUAACUUCCUGUUAGCUUGUUUAAUAAACCAUUCAUUUUGCAUUAGGCUCUCAUGCCACGUACAGCAUGUCACCAUGUAUUGAAUCAGAAUGAUGAGCAUAGGCUGACCCUGCAGUAAUCUCUGGGAAGGCACAGUGAUGCGAACAAGGAGCCCAGGUGAAUCCUUAGCCUCUAACAGAGAUGGAAUCGGAGCUCUGGAAAUCUUACUGAUAAUGUUAACAUCCAAGCGACCCACUGUUGGCAACCCCAGAAUUACGAAAUAUGGACUUCAUACAGCUGUGAAAAUACUGUUGUGUUCAUAAACAACUACUGUGAUUAUAGAGAAAUAAGAAAUACUGAAAAGAAAGCAACCAAAUAGUCCUUGAAAGGAGUGUCUUUGAGCAUUGCUGUCUGGGCUUUUGAAGGGAAUGUUGGUACAAUUCUAAUCCUAACCUAUUGUGGAAGGUGAACUGGGUCUUGGGGACCCCCUUCCCUGGGCCUUGAACUUUUGAGGGUCAUACUCUUGUCUUCCUGUCUCUAUGAGGAGAGGAGU